GUCUACGGCCAUACUACCCUGAACGCGCCCGAUCUCGUCUGAUCUCGGAAGCUAAGCAGGGUCGGGCCUGGUUAGUACUUGGAUGGGAGAAAUAGAGCAUAACAGUGCUUCAGGUGCUGGAGUAC
ensembl:rRNA 5S_rRNA 5S ribosomal RNA